AACAUCUGUGCAUCACAACAGGAACAUUAAGGGUUGGAACAUCUGUGCAUCACAACAGGAACAUUAAGGGUUGGAACAUCUGUGCAUCACAACAGGAACAUUAAGGGUUGGAACAUCUGUGCACCACAACAGGAACAUUAAGGUUUGGAACAUCUGUGCAUCACAACAGGAACAUUAAGGUUUGGAACAUCUGUGCAUCACAACAGGAACAUUAAGGGUUGGAACAUCUGUGCAUCACAACAGGAACAUUAAGGGUUGGAACAUCUGUGCAUCACAACAGGAACAUUAAGGUUUGGAACAUCUGUGCAUCACAACAGGAACAUUAAGGUUUGGAACAUCUGUGCAUCACAACAGGAACAUUAAGGUUUGGAACAUCUGUGCAUCACAACAGGAACAUUAAGGUUUGGAACAUCUGUGCAUCACAACAGGAACAUUAAGGUUUGGAACAUCUGUGCAUCACAAUAGGAACAUUAAGGUUUGGAACAUCUGUGCAUCACAAUAGGAACAUUAAGGUUUGGAACAUCUGUGCAUCACAACAGGAACAUUAAGGUUUGGAACAUCUGUGCAUCACAACAGGAACAUUAAGGGUUGGAACAUCUGUGCAUCACAACAGGAACAUUAAGGUUUGGAACAUCUGUGCAUCACAACAGGAACAUUAAGGUUUGGAACAUCUGUGCAUCACAACAGGAACAUUAAGGUUUGGAACAUCUGUGCAUCACAACAGGAACAUUAAGGUUUGGAACAUCUGUGCAUCACAAUAGGAACAUUACGGUUUGGAACAUCUGUGCAUCACAACAGGAACAUUACGGGUUGGAACAUCUGUGCAUCACAACAGGAACAUUACGGUUUGGGUUUUUGAUUUGACAAUGUCCAUUUACCCCACUAACAAAAUUGCGCAACUAAAAGAUCCUCGGCAAAACUUAAAAACGUAUUACAGAUUUCUUGUUUUAGUUG